UAUAUGAUUACAGAUGACGAAUCCACAAUAAAAAAAUAAUGUCUGUCUGUCUGUCUGUCUGUCUGUCUCUCUGUGUACACGAUAACUUGAGUAAAACUGAACCGAUUUCAAACAUUUUUUUUCCCUGAUAGGUAAUGACAAUAGCAAGACCUCAUAUGAAAAUGGGCAUAUUUGGGUCUGUACUUCCUGAAUUAGGGC